rnacentral:rRNA from 1 species
AAUCAACGCUGGCGGCGUGCCUCAGACAUGCAAGUCGAACGCGAAAUCCCGAGCAAUCGGGAGAGUAGAGUGGCGCACGGGUGAGUAACACGUAGGUAAUCUACCUUCGGAUGGGGAAUAACAACCGGAAACGGUUGCUAAUACCGCAUAAUGCAGCGGCACCUAAUGGUGACAGUUGUUAAAGCGGGGGAUCGAAAGACCUCGCGUCUGAAGAGGAGCCUGCGGCGGAUUAGCUAGUUGGUAAGGUAAUGGCUUACCAAGGCAACGAUCCGUAACCGGCCUGGAGG